rnacentral:rRNA from 1 species
GACGAACGCUGGCGGCGUGCCUAAUACAUGCAAGUAGAACGCUGAAGGAGGAGCUUGCUUCUCUGGAUGAGUUGCGAACGGGUGAGUAACGCGUAGGUAACCUGCCUGGUAGCGGGGGAUAACUAUUGGAAACGAUAGCUAAUACCGCAUAAGAGUAGAUGUUGCAUGACAUUUGCUUAAAAGGUGCAAUUGCAUCACUACCAGAUGGACCUGCGUUGUAUUAGCUAGUUGGUGAGGUAACGGCUCACCAAGGCAACGAUACAUGGCCGACCUGAGAGGGUGAUCGGCCACACUGGGACUGAGACACGGCCCAGACUCCUACGGGAGGCAGCAGUAGGGAAUCUUCGGCAAUGGACGGAAGUCUGACCGAGCAACGCCGCGUGAGUGAAGAAGGUUUUCGGAUCGUAAAGCUCUGUUGUAAAGAGAAAGAAACGAGUGUGAGAAGUGGAAAAGUUCCACC